rnacentral:misc_RNA from 1 species
UCCGGUUUGUCACCGGCAGUCUCCUAUGAGUUCCCGACUUGACUCGCUGGCAACUAACAACAGGGGUUGCGCUCGUUAUAGGACUUAACCUGACACCUCACGGCACGAGCUGACGACAACCAUGCAGCACCUUGUAAAUUGUCUUGCGAAAGAUCUGUUUCCAAACCGGUCAAUCUACAUUUAAGCCUUGGUAAGGUUCCUCGCGUAUCAUCGAAUUAAACCACAUGCUCCACCGCUUGUGCGGGCCCCCGUCAAUUCCUUUGAGUUUCAGCCUCGCGGCCGUACUCCCCAGGCGGGGUACUUACUGCGUUAGCGACGGCACCGGAGGGGUCGCUCCCCCCGACGCCUAGUACCCAUCGUUUACGGCGUGGACUAC